AAGAAAAUACAGUCAAACAGAUUUACAAUUUAUACAAUUAUGUUCAAAUGUGGGUGAGUAAUUACAAAGACAAACAACUAUGUAAUCACCAGCUUCAAAUAAAACCCUUGUGUCAGAAACAGAUUUAUGUUCUCCCUGCUUUUCAAACAUGGUAGACCCAGGAAGUAUAAAAUGAUAUCAGCUCCUUUGCAGACCCCUUUUGCAUGAUGACCACAAAGAAAAUUAGUAACAAGGUCUGACUUCCAUUGUUGCCAAGAGCUGCAACCAGAAGCAAUUGUUCUACAUGAAACCAAACCCAAACCAAGAUGCUCUCCUGCCUGUUGAUGGCCAAGUUUUAUUACUUUUAUUACUACUUGUGUGUCAUCUGACUAAGUCGGAUGCCUACAAUGUUUCACUGUGUCUUACCUAGCCAAUGCAAUUUUACUAACCUAUUUUUUUAGGUCAUCAAGUUACAUUAAUUUAAUUAAUUUGCACUUUCAUGUCAGUGUUAUAGAGAGACUAGACAAGGUAUAAACUGUAGCUCAGCCAAGGCACAGGGUAAUUUAUGUCCUUGUUCAGAAUUCACCUGACAACGUGGCAUUCACCAUUAAUUUUUUUUUUUAUGGAGCUCUGGAGGGAGUGAAUUGUGUAACAGGAAGUGGCAACAAAAUGUAGAUGUUGUUUUCAUGAUGGAAGAACUGUCAAAUUAACAUGAACCUUUCAAAAAAAUGUCUUGGUCAGCAUGGACAUACUAUGAACCUAUAGCAUCAAUGGGGUUUUCAUUAAAAUCUUACAUGUCUGUAUGUUGUUUUUCUGUAUGUGUGCUGAUUAGCAGUUCAGUUUUAAUAGGUGGUUUAAAAAUCAGCUGUAAAGUUAUCAGCUAUCCCAUGAGGUUAAUCAAAGCACAAACGGUAUGUUAUUCUUAAAUUGUGAAAAGGAUUGCUUAAGUCGUCACCACAGCCCUGCCAACCAAAGAGGCUUCAGCAGAGCAGCAUGAACAGUCAGCCGUUGAGUGCCACUUUGAAAGAAAAUGUGAAUGUAUCUUUUAACCUACCGUUGGCACAUGGAUUAUUUGAACUGUUGUAAUGAAAACCAGAGCACACUAGCUAGACUCAGCUGAGGUUGGCAAGAGGAAUCGAGCAACCACAUCAGGUGUCUUUUGAAGAGAGAUUUUUCACCCUCAUGUUCAAACUCUUGCCUGUGGACGAUGUAGUGUUGUCUUUCAAAUAUGCAGUAAAUGAAUUACAAAUGAUGUCCGAGCCAUUUUUUCCUUUUAAAUAGCACAAAUAUGGUGUUUAACUGUCAUUAAAGCAAAUAUUUUUGUUCUCA